UUACGAUGUCACAAUUAAAAAUGUUAAAAAAUAUAAAAUUUAAAAACACAUGAUGACUCUGAGGCUCAAAAAAGCCGAAACGAAUAUGAAAGGUAAAAGUAAAAAUGGCUACGGUAUACGACGAUCUCUAUUUAGUUCGGAAGAUCCUGAGAAGAUGGCUGAUGAAUUAGACAAAAUUAAACGACAUACAAUAAAGCAGCCAGAAAACACUAGAGAAUUUUGCUCAUACUUUUAUGGUAGAAAAAAAUCGACUGAUCCAUUUUACCUUGUUACAUCUCAUGCGACAUCGUCCCCAAAAUCUGCCAAGACACAACGAAAUUAUGGCCUAAAAGAACAAGUGUUUACGACAUACCCAACUUUUGUACCAGGUCUGCAUUGGAGUCCCUCCGUAGACAGCUUCACUGACGAUGGUCAAGAUGAGCAAGAUUUUGUUUGUAGAAGAUGUAGGAAUUGCAAAGAAACAUUUGUACCUGAAAGAAGAGUGUUCAAAGAUAACAUUAUUAGAUUUUGUGAUAACAGUACAAUGACAUUCAAUGUAAACGAUGCCGCCUGUGAAGUUCCACGUCCGCGAGCUGCCUAUUCCUCGACUAUUUCUAUAACAGCUUCCGAUAUUGCAGUAAGAGACGAACCCGAGCCCCAGUAAAAAUAUUGAAAUUCCUUUCGCACAUCAGGGCGGCUCGAAAUAUCACCACGAAUGUAAAACUGAAGGCAAAAGGCAAUGUUACAGUAUUCAGGAGGAAGUGAGGCUAGCGUCGAAACCACGGGCUCUGAAGCCUUCCCAUCCCGGAGGAUUAGAGCGCUGCGACCUGGCACCGUGUGGCAGAAUGCCUAGAAGAGUUUUGAGUUCCGAACGCGAUAUAGAUUCAUAUAUACAAAAACAAAAUAGGAAACCAAAUUUUUUUUGAAUGCAAUUUUCAAUGUAAUUAUGGUAUCAAUAAAUAUAAA